UACAGAGGUCUCAAGCGUUGUUCGGAUUCAUUGGGCGUAAAGGGCGCGUAGGCGGCCGAUCAAGUCGGGGGUGAAAGCCUGUGGCUCAACCACAGAAUUGCCUUCGAUACUGUUUGGCUUGAGACCGGAAGAGGUAAGUGGAACUGCGAGUGUAGAGGUGAAAUUCGUAGAUAUUCGCAAGAACACCAGUGGCGAAGGCGGCUCACUGGCCCGAUACUGACGCUGAGGCACGAAAGCGUGGGGAGCAAACAGG
rnacentral:rRNA from 1 species